UGUAAUUUUACAUCAUGUACAACAUUGGAAGCAGCAUAUACAACACUUUAUAAGCAGAGAAAAUAGAAAAGGGUUUGAUAUUUUAAGACGCUACAAGGGGUAGCCUAGGGAUUUCACUCCUACCGUUCCUUCAUUUUCCAUCAUCGAUUGAAAUUGAAUGCGAUCUUUUGGUAUUCGCCGUCCCCAUCUACCCUAUAACCUGAUUUCCGAUUUUGAAGGAACCCGAACCGAUUUGCAGUGGAAGAAGAACUUGCAACAUGGAGAGAUUCGGAGGCGGUGGUGGUGAUACUCUACAAAUUCAUUCGAAUUCAUCAGAUCUUGUUGAGUUUUAUUAUUGCUUCUGUCUGGUGAUAGCUAAGUUUUGAGAAUCAAAUCAACCAAACGCACCAUGAAUAAUGGGAAGAGGAAGACGGUGUGAAGGUUGUGCCAGGUUUCUUUGACGUGAUUCUCAAUUAUAUCGAAGGUAUUGUUCUUGCAAUUUGUUUUAAUUCGACUGGUUAAUCGGUUGUAAUGUUGUUGUUAGUGUUGAUUUGUUUACAUUUUAAUAUCAAAAUUUUUUGUUAGGAAUCUGCAUUAAGAUUUUAGUUUUAUGUUAUUAGUUGGAUGAUUAGGGUAUAAAUUUGGUACGUUAUGCUGUUGUUGGUGUUUACGGUUACCAGAAAAGCAUCGAAGAAUGUCCAUAUGAAUGAAUUUGGGGCUGGGUUUUGUGUGAUUUUUAGGGCUACGUUUCUUCAAGGAGAAUUUCACAUAAUAGCUGAAAAGUUUCACGUUCAUAUACUUGUUCAUCCAAAUAUUUCUUGCAUGUCUUCCCCUGCUUCUCCCAUCGCGAUCAGUUAUUCAAUGGUUCUUCUUGAAGGACAUAAAUUGAUCAGGAGAAAUAUCGCCACACUCAAUGUUGCCACUGGUUCACUUUCUGUACUUGUUCUCUCCCUCUAUCUCUUUAUGGCGAUAAUCUCAACAUCAGAACUCCAAGGGAGCCAUCGAUUCACUUGUGGUCGAUCAUGAUAUUUUUUGGAGCUCCGAUCAACCCGGCAUCGACCUUAUUUUGCUGAUGAAGCGGAAUUUGUGGAAGUUUAUAGAAAAAGAAAUUUGGUGCCGCUCCACAAGUGCAAUAUUAAUCACUUACACGUUUGAUGUCAGAAAUGAUGAAGAAAUACAAUGAAAGGUGAAGAAGAAGCUUUAUUCUGCACAUUGUGCAAUGCCAGAGGUGAUCAAUGAUUAAAUCAAUGAGUAAUGUUUCACUUCAUUUGUGUCAGAUCUUAAAUAAUGCGUGGGUUUCCAUCGUUUGUCUACGGUUUGAACAACUCAAGUCAAUGCAUUAGUCAUUUUUUUAGUUUACCAUUUGACCCAUUAGAACCAAAAUGACUUUAAUCAACCAAUUCAUAAGUAAACAGGUCGAAACAAAUGACAUUCUAUCAUUUCACAUUACAGGAGGAACCAACUUUCUGUGACCUGUUUGACAAGGGUUCAUGAGGCUGUUGACACAAAGGAGAUGGAAGUGAUUUGUGGAUUUAUGUUUCUGUUUGACAUGUUUAUGAGGAUGUCAUGUGACUGUUUGACAACAUUGAUGUUCUGUAGUCAUAUGCUUCAGACAGUCAAGCCGAUCAGAUCUAAAUGUCAAUUGGGCUACAUUCUCAGAAACUGAGGUAGCGAUUUUGUUUUUAAAAUUAGAAGGCUAAUUAUAUUUUUGUCAUGUUGUUUUUUAAUCACUUAGCUAUUGGUUCCCUAAGUUACUCGAGUUUAUCAAACACCCUAACAUCUAACUAUUACCACUUCAAACACCAGACUCAUCUAAACGUUGUUUUAUAGUAGUGCAGCUAAUUAUAUGAUUCUGAUCAUUUUAUUCACAUAUCAUUUUCAGUAUGCACAUCCAAACACCCUGUUACUAUAGUCCAAAUUUCUAAGCAGUGUUUGUUGCCACAAAUUCUUGUCCUGAAGUCAAAAAUUGCAAAUAUAAUGGACCUACCAGUCAUCCCCAACCCAUAAAUGACUUGUAAUAUUAUCAAUUCUCCCCACUCGUGUGCCUGAUGCACGGGCUGGAUCUUAUUGUAUAGUUCAUGUUAAAGAUGUUGCAUUGCUAUUGAACAAAGAUCCAAAUUUUAUGUCAAUAUGUCCUGUCUAUUUUUAUAGUUUAAUGAUUUUGUGUAUGGUUUUUGUUUACCUUUGAAAUGAAGUAAUACCUAUUAACCCGUUUUUGUAAUUUUGAUUUUUUAUUUGGAGAAAUUUCAAUUACUAUUAUAGAUCUCAUUUGGGAUUUUCAUUUCUACAAAAAAGAUGCAUACUCAUUAGAGAUGGCAAAAUGUCGUGUCAUGUUGUUUGGACAGUGUUUAAUUUUUAAUAUAGUCAAACAUGUUGGGCAUGCAACUUCUCAAGUAUUAGAGUGCUAUGUUAAGAAGCUGGUGCAGGUCUGAGUCUGACCUGAAGAAAACAAGCAUAGGGCUUGGCUGGGCUGGUGGACCUAACAUCUAUCAUGUUACAUACUGGUUCUAUACUUCAUUCUAUUUGAAUAUUUAAAGACUAAUUUCACUUACAAAGUCUUCGUCUGUCGGAUGAACUAUUCGUUUUGGAAGCUAACGUUAUUUAAUAAACUUGGAGGGACUAAAGAUGCCAUAUAUUGAAAAUGGAAAAUUCAUCAUGAUAAGUAUUGGAAGAUGAAGGACUAUAUGUGAAUAAAGGAUGAAAGUUGAAAUUAGAUCAACAUGUAAAGUUGAAUUUGAAUCAACAUGUCAUGAAAGAAGAAAAAAACAAAAAGCACCCGGGUGUUAAAUAUAUUCGUUGACCGAACAAUAAUGUUGACUGCAUAUAUUUUUUUGUUUUGGGCGGUUUGGAGCUCACGAGAACAUGCCAAAGCCUAGAUAGUGGUAUUUGUAUUUGAGGCCAAUUGUGAUACUUAGGGAGCCCGGUCCAGGAGUUGACCCAAUCAAAAACUGCUCCGGAGUCUUCAGGGAUCUCUUCAUCAAUCAGAUGAACCUCCUGGACCGGGAAGUGAAGAUGGUCGCCUAGCUGGACGAACCAUUGGAGUAAAACUACGUGAGAAAACACGCACUUGAGCAGGCUGAAACUCUUGGUGUUGAUGUUAGAGAAGCUGCGACCCGUAUCUUCUCCAAUGCAUCUGGCUCCUACUCAUCAAAUGUAAACCUGGCAGUCGAAAACUCAACAUGGAACGAGGAGAAACAGCUUCAAGACAUGUAUUUGAGCAGAAAGUCAUUCGCAUUCGACAGCGACACUCCAGGUGCCGGAAUGAGCGAGAAACGAAAAGUGUUCUAGAUGGCGUUAAGUACAGCCGAAGCCACUUUCCAAAACCUCGACUCAUCAGAGAUUUCUUUAACCGAUGCGAGCCUCUACUUCGAUUCUGACCCAACUAACCUUGUUGGGAGCUUGCAUAAGACGGGAAGAAACCAAGUGCCUACAUUGCACACACAACCACAGCUAUGGAAAAUAAUUCAUAUGUAGUGUUUGACUUUGCAAAAUACUCAAUAUGGAAAAUAAUUGCUGUAAAAUUUUGUAUUUGUGGCAAAUAAUCUUUCUUUCUCUGUUUAA